GUUCUGUCUCAAGCGGUGACCCAGGGUAUCUGAGAAGCGUGCGAUGCUGACGACAGUGGCGAGGGGCGCAGCUGUGCGGAGAACCGGCCUUCUCUCGGGCCCAGGCGGCAGAAGGGAGCUGUGGACCGGUUCCCCGAAGUCAGAUACUAACAAUGUGAAGCCAUUGAUGGUGUGAAAAUUCUGGAUCCAACAAGCGUACUGAUGGGGCCUUUUGCUACUAUGAAUUUAGGAGAUCUUGGAGCAGAAGUUAUAAAAAUGGAAAGACCAGGUCAUCACCUAGGCUGCUGGUAUGUCAGUUUCAGGAGCUCUGGAGGAUGACAACUUACUUCCUUGAGAUGUCUCCUAAGAUUCCCCUCCUCCCUAAUUUGGUUAAGUCAGGAAAUUCCAUAGACACACUCCAAACUUCGUGACACAGUGAUAGAUAAGUACUCAAUUUAUUUAUGUGUUUUCAUCUAAAGUUUAUGUUAAUCUCAACCUUUUCCAUCUAGAACAGAGGUUGGCAAAUUAUGUGGGCCAAAUUGGGUUUAUUUUUGUACAGCUCAUGGACUAAGAAUGGAUUUUACAUUUUAAAGAUUGUUGAAGAAGAAUAAAGAAGAACAUGUGAUAGGGAAUCUAUCUGGCCUGCAAAGGGUACAAUAUUUACUGUUGUACCCUUUAUAGAAAAAGUUUGCCCACCCCUCAUCUAGAGUCUGAUUCUAUUAGUCGUAUGUGUGUGAAUGUGUCUAAAUCUAUGUCAACAUGGCUUAAAAAAUUUAUUGAAUAAUUAUCAGGUACUUAAAUGUGUUCAAGAAUGACUAUAAUGAAUUUCUUUGGGUGACCUGAUUUCUGUGAUGACUUUAAAAAAGACUUUAAAAGAUAUGUAGUCACAAUUGAAAUUUUGAGAAGAAUUUUAAGAUUGAGGUUUACAGUGGUUCAUUGUCCUCUAAUUCUUAUAGCAGUCAUCUGGGAAUCGAAAUCUAUAUCUUGUUUUAGACAGUUACUGACUCACUGGGUUAUAGUUUAAUAGUUUUCAAAAAAUGGUUCAUUAAAUACAUUUAAAACUCUUUGGAAAGAAAGCAUCUGAAAAGUGUGAAUGCAUUUCAGAAUCAUGUUUACAUGUAUGGUGCCUAUAUGUGCAUGCUACAUUGAGAAAUAUCUCAUAAUAAAGAUGGAGAUGUUGGUUAGCAAUAUCUUAAAGGGCCUCUUAAGGAAUUUGGCUUUUACUUUGAUUAAGAUUGUAAGCUACUGGAGGGUUUUGAGCAGAGAAAUGAUGUGAUCUGAAAUAUUUUUAAAAGGAUCACUCUAGCUACUGUGUUAAGAAUAGAUUGUAGAGGACAAGGUUGGAAGUGGAAGAACAAAUACAAAACUAUUGAAAUAUUCCAGGCUAGCGAUAAUGGUGGCUUGAAUUACAGUAGUAAUGGUGGAGGUGGUUGAGCAAUGAUAGGAUUCCGAUUAUGUUUUCAAGAUAAAGAGGAUAGUAUUUGGAGACAGAUUAGAUGUAUCAGCGAAAGAGUAGAGUUAAAGAUGACUAAGUUUUUGGCCUGAGCAAUUAGAAGAAUGGAAUUGCUAUAUAAUGAAUUGAGCAAGACUGUGGAAAGAAGUUUUAGUAGGGAAAAUAGCAAAAGUUUGUUUUGAAAGUUUGGAAGUCUCUUAAGAAAUGUGACUCAUCUUGAGAUGCCUGUUGGAUAGCCAGGUGGAGAUGUAAAAUAAGGGAUCGGGGUUAGGAGUUGAGGGGAAGAUAUAAAGUUUGAUAGUUAUAGAACAACUGGAUGGUAUUCGAAGCCUCACUGAGAUCAUUUAGAGAGUGAGUGUAGAUAGAGAAAGGAGGGUCCAAGGGGCUGAGCCUGAUGUACUCCAAUGACUAGAUGUUUGGUAGCUGAUGAGAACACAGGGAAGAAGAUUGAGAAGGAAUUGUCAUUGAAGUGGGAAGAGAACCUCCUGGAAGCCAAGUAAAGAAAGUGUCUAUUUCCACGACAAUUUAAGCUUUAAAGUGGAGUCAGUUUAAGCAUGCAUGGAACCGAAUGGCUUGCAUUUCCUAAAUUCACCAUGCUGUCUCUUAUUUCAAUCUUUGCACACCAUGUUUCCACUGCUUGGAACACCAUUCCCCUACCACACCUGGUUACUCUCUCUUUUUCCUUUAGCUCUCAUUGUGAAUGUCAUUACUUCUUUACAGACUUUCUUGAUCCUUGAAGAUUGGGUUGGGUGUUCUCUAUCAAUUUUGUAUUUGCCUUUUACUUGUCUGUAUCCCCCACUAUCCUGCAGCCUCUUGUUUAUUCUUAGUUCCAUACAUCGUGCAGAGCACAUUGUAGGGACUCAACAGGAGUUUCUUGAAUCAAUGAAUAAAUAAUCAGAACUUGACUGAAGAGUUUUUAAUAGCUGCCAUUUUUUUCUGCAUUCUACUUUUUGGAGAUAAUGGUAUGUCCCUAUAGAAACUCUUGAACAUGUGCAUGAGGAGACAUGAAGAAGAAUGUUCAUAGCAACAUUGUCUAUAAUAGAAAAAAGGUGAAAAUAACAAAUGAAAUAUGUUUCAAUAGGAAAAGGGGUAAGUGUGUAAUAUAAUGGGAUACUAGUAAGCAGAGGAAAGAGCGAACUGGAAUUACUAAAGCCAAUGCAGAUGAAUUUUACAAAGAUAAUAUUCAGUGAAGAAAGCAAGUUACAAAAGAUGAUAAAGAGAUUGGUAAUAUUUAUGUAGAGUUAUAAUUAUAACAUAAUACAAAAUAUGUAUUUUUGAGUAGUUCACUCACAUGUGGUUAAAAUAUAAAGAUGUGCAUGGUAAUGAAAAAUACUAAAUUCAAGAGAAUGAUUACCUCUGCAGAAUGGAGAGGAAGGAAUAUGAGACAGGAAAGGGAUAUACACAGGACUUGAUCUAUAUUUGUCAGAUAAGCAUGAGUAUUUGUUGUAUUGUUCCUAUACCCUUUUAUGCUUGAAAUAACAACAAAAGGUUCAGAAAUGCUCAAAUAGUUCCCUCCUUUUGUGUCUUCCUCCCCCGACUCCACCACAUGUUUCUUGAGCUCCUAUAUAUUCCUGGCUAUGUUGUGUGUACAGGGCAAAUAAUGCAGACAUGGUUCCUGCCUUUAAGGAGUUUACAGCCUACUGUCAGAGACAUUUUAUAAAAAAGUUAAAAUAUAGUUUGGCAUGUACUAACAAAUUGUGCUGUUAUGGAGAAUCAAACAGGGUACUGUGAUGGAGAUUAGUAGAGGUGGGGCUGCUUACUGUAAAUGGGAUGGUCAGAGAAGGCCUUUCUGGGGAGUUAACAUUUAAUAUACCUAAAAUAUGAGAAGGAGUUACCCAUUCAGAGAACAAGGGAGGAGUGAUUCAGGUAGAGAGAAUACCAUGUGCAAAGGCCCUGAGGUGGGAAGGGUUUAGAUACCUUUCAUGACCCAAGAGAAAGCCAGCAUGCCUGGAAUACUAAAACUGGGAGCAGAAUGCUUGAGAAAACACUGCAUAGUUGUGCAAGUGUCAUAGCAUACUGGAAAAGGUUGUAGCAGUAGAGGGAUUUGAUCCAAAUUACAUUAAAAAUAGUCUUUAAAAGAGGUAAGACUUAGAUACUGAUUGACUCAUCCUGAAGAACUUCCUUAUAAACAUUGGACAUUGAAAUAAAGUUCAUGUUUCAGAGAGUAGUUAUUAAGAUAAAAUAUCUUUAGAUUACUAAAGAAAUCAUUGUGCCAUUAUGGAGUUUCAGAGUCAGUAGCAGAUAAUGAAUGGUAAAUCAUCUAGCAACUGCAUCCAACAUAUAUAUCAUGGCAGCGACAAUACAAAACAAAACAUUGCUGCAGUUGGAUUCUUUUGGAAUGAGUUGUUAUAUGUAUAUUAAUAAUUUUCUGCAUAUUCACCACAUAACUAUAUCUUCUAAAAAAAUAAUAAUUAGAAGUCUGACUGCAGUAUAAAUCCAUAAAAUUUUGAAGGAGAAAAAGAAGGAAGGAAGAUUGGGAGGGAGAAAGGUUGGAGUGUGGGGAAGAAAGAAGACAAGAAGGAGAAAAGGAGGGAAGAAAAGGGAAAGAAUUAGAAUAACAAUGGGCAAAUUUUAUUUUGACCCCUAAAAAUAGUAGUUUAGGCUAGUUCACAUGACAUUCAUAUGGCAUUAAACAUUUCUAUAUUGAAUAAUCAAUAUAGAUAUGACAUUAAAAGGGGUCCUCUUAGUCAAAAUAAUUGGCAACUACUGGUCUAAAUUAUGAAUGUCUGUUGCACCCUCUUUUAUCAGGAAAUAUUUUUUUCCCUAGAAUUUCACAGUGUUGUGGCCAUCUGUCCAACUUUAUAGGCAGUGAUCCCUAGCAAAAGGGUGGUUUGACGUAUUUACCAUUUCAUACCAAACUUAUUAUUUAAACAAAUAAUGACACCAUCUUUGCAGAGGAAGGAAAACAUAGCAUAUAAAUACAAGAUUUCAAAACACAGCACAUAAAGCUAGGGACUUAGAUUAUAUUUUGUCUGUAGACAUGGACUGACUCCAGAAAGUGACAUUUUGCCCCCAUUUUAUCCCCCAAGGAUAUACCCUUUUUAACUUUAAAUACUUUUUUACCCUUACACAUAAAACACAUGUGUUACACAAGCUGGAGUGUAAGCAGAAACUUUUUCCUUUCCCACUCUACCUCUGCAAACCUGCACUCUUGACUCAUUUUCCUUGCUCAUGGAUGAAAUCCUUCGCAAGUCCUAUAGAUUUUUCCCCUGGUUAUUUCAUAUGAAGUAAUAAAAAAAAGUCCAGUCCAAUCUAAAAUAAAAACUUGACUUUUUCUCCUGCAACUUGGU